AGCAGCCGCGGUAGUUCCAGCUCCAAUAGCGUAUAUUAAAGUUGUUGCAGUUAAAAAGCUCGUAGUUGAAUUUCGGGGUUAGUAGGUUGGUCAUGCCUCUGGUAUGUACUGGUCUCACUGAUUCCUCCUUCCUUAUGAACCGUAAUGCCAUUAAUUUGGUGUUGCGGGGAAUUUGGACUGUUACUUUGAAAAAAUUAGAGUGUUUAAAGCAAGCUAACGCUUGAAUACAUUAGCAUGGAAUAAUGAAAUAGGACGUUCGAUCUUAUUUUGUUGGUUUCUAGGAUUGACGUAAUGAUUAAUAGGGAUAGUUGGGGGCAUUAGUAUUCAAUUGUCAGAGGUGAAAUUCUUGGAUUUAUUGAAGACUAACUACUGCGAAAGCAUUUGCCAAGGAUGUUUUCAUUAAUCAAGAACGAAAGUUAGGGGAUCGAAGACGAUCAGAUACCGUCGUAGUCUUAACCAUAAACUAUGCCGACUAGGGAUCGGAUGAUGUUAAUUUUUUAAUGACUCA
rnacentral:rRNA from 1 species